rnacentral:rRNA from 1 species
AACGAACGCUGGCGGCAUGCCUAACACAUGCAAGUCGAACGCUCCGCAAGGGGAGUGGCGAACGGGUGAGUAACGCGUGGGAACCUGCCCAGUAGUUGGGGAUAACCGCGGGAAACUGCGGCUAAUACCGAAUACGCCCUAAGGGGGAAAGAUUUAUCGCUAUUGGAGGGGCCCGCGUCGGAUUAGCUGGUUGGUGAGGUAACGGCUCACCAAGGCGACGAUCCGUAGCUGGUCUGAGAGGAUGAUCAGCCACACUGGGACUUAGACACGGCCCAGACUCCUACGGGAGGCAGCAGUGGGGAAUAUUGGACAAUGGGGGCAACCCUGAUCCAGCAAUGCCGCGUGAGUGAUGAAGGCCUUAGGGUUGUAAAGCUCUUUUACCGGGGACGAUGAUGACGGUACCCGGAGAAUAAGCCCCGGCUAACUUCGUG